UGUGAAAAAUUUGUUAAAUUAAGGAGUAAUUUAUUGUUUAAGAAAAAUAAUUUUUAUAAAAAAAAUAGUAAUUUUUAUUGAAAUUACAAAAAAAUGACUAUAGUAAAAAGUACUGUAAAGGAAAAAUAAAAAAUUUAGAAUAGUAAAUUUAAGAAUUUGUACCUUGUGUAUCAGGGAAAAUUUAUAUAAGUUAAUAAGUUUAAGUAUCUCGAAAUAAAAUAUAGCUAAUUUUAUAAAAAAUUUUUUGUUGAAAAUAAAUUUUUAAUAUAAAAUUAAAAGUGAAAUGCUAAAUGAGUUUUAUAAUAUCUAGUUUUCUAAAAAAAAAUUUAAUUUGAUUUUUAUAUUAAUUUAUAUAAAAUUUAAAUGUAGGAGGGAUUAGCUUCUUAUAAAUUUAAGUGAAAAAUAGUUUUAAAUAAAGAGGAUGAUAAAUUAAGCUUAAAAGUAGCUAUAUUAAUAAAGUGUUUUAACUAAAUUAAAAUUAUAUAAUAUUUAUUUGGACUUUUUUUAUAUAUAUAUAUAUUCAUAUAUUGGAAAAUUAACUAAAAUUUUAUUUAUUAAGUUAUAAUGAUUUUAUUAGUAGAAUUUUUUUUUGUAAAUAAAGUAUAUUAGAAUAAUUAUAAUUGUUUAAUACUAUGAAGGUAAUAUAAAGGAACUCGGCAAAAUAGUUUCUUUGCCUGUUUAUCAAAAACAUGUCUGUUUGGAGUUAUAAAAAGUUUAACCUGCCCACUGAUUGGAACAAAAAUUAAAUGGCCGCGGUAUAUUGACCGUGCAAAGGUAGCAUAAUCGUUAGUUUUUUAAUUGGAAUCUUGUAUGAAUGGUUGGACAAAAGAAAAUCUGUCUUUAUAUUAUUAAUUGAAUUUAACUUUUAAGUGAAAAGGCUUAAAUGGAUUAAAGUGACGAUAAGACCCUAUAAAGCUUUAUAUAGAUAUAUUAUUUAAUUAAAUUUUUAAUAAAAAUUUAGUAGUAAAAUUUAUUUUAUUGGGGCGAUAAGAGUAAAAUUUUUAUUAACUGCUUUAAGUUUUGAAUACAUUUAUGUUUGAUUAAAAUUUUAAAUGAUCCUAAAUAAAGAUUAAAAGUUUAAGUUACUUUAGGGAUAACAGCGUUAUUUUUUUUGAGAGUACUUAUCGAAAAAAAAGUUUGCGACCUCGAUGUUGAAUUAAAAUUUCUUUAUAAUUGCAGAAGUUAUAAAAGUAGGUCUGUUCGACCUUUAAAAUUUUACAUGAUUUGAGUUCAAACCGGCGUGAGCCAGGUUGGUUUCUAUCUUUUAAUAAAAAAAAAUUAUUUUAGUACGAAAGGAUUGGAUAAUUGAAAUUAUUUUAAAAUAUAUGGUU
rnacentral:rRNA from 1 species